AAUCCUUUUAUUCAGUGGCUAAAUUUACUCAUUGUGAAUUAAAGGACAUUGUAACUUAACAUAACAUCUGACUUGCUAUAAUUACUGAAGGGUGUUUUCAGGCACUUUACAAUUUUAGUAGUUACUGACAUCAGGUCAUCCAAUUCCCAGUCAUUAGAAUAGUAGUAGAUGGGGAGAAAAGAUAAUCAGUUUGUGCAAUUGAGGAUGUCUAUAUCAUUCAUGCUGUAUGUAGGAUGUUAUGCACUAUAAGUGGCUUCUUAGCUUGCUUAACUUGGUAUUAAUUUUGAACAAGGUACUGGCAGCAUAAGCAGUGUUUUCUCCAAUUUUAUUUCCAGCCGUGUGGUCCUCUGAUGUCCGUCAUGGCAAUGACUCCUCAAACCAGAAAUCAAUGCCACUAUCAAUGUCUUGACAUCAAUCAUAGUGCACAGAACCUUGGAAACUUAAAGGGAACGCUGAGUCCCAUUUAAGAACUCCAGGCAAAGUGGAAGAUGACUCAGAUGACGGCUCAUCACCAAAGGGGUCUAGCACCUGAUUACUCAGAUCUUACCUUCAUUGGAGAGAAAGUGACUCUUGGUUUCAUUUUCACCAUGAUAACUUUCAGUUUUUGGUGAAAAACCUAGGAUCUCUGAAUCAUAUCCCCAACACCAGAUUUGGAAUCUCUGCAACUGGAAACAUCUUCAUUAUCUUUCCUCUAUCAAACCCUCUGAUAUUUUUAAAUUCCUCUGCCCGAUUACUUCUCAGCUGUCUCUUUUUGAGAAAAUAAAAGUUGAAAUAACUUCACAGAGGUUGG